UACGGGGGGGGCAAGCGUUGUUCGGAAUUACUGGGCGUAAAGGGCUCGUAGGCGGCCAACUAAGUCGGAUGUGAAAUCCCCAGGCUUAACCUGGGAACUGCAUCCGAUACUGGAUGGCUUGAAUCCGGGAGAGGGAUGCAGAAUUCCAGGUGUAGCGGUGAAAUGCGUAGAUAUCUGGAGGAAUACCGGUGGCGAAGGCGGUAUCCUGGACCGGCAUUGACGCUGAUGAGCGAAAGCUAGGGGAGCAAACGGG
rnacentral:rRNA from 1 species